UGGGGAAUUUUGGACAAUGGGCGCAAGCCUGAUCCAGCCAUGCCGCGUGCGGGAAGAAGGCCUUCGGGUUGUAAACCGCUUUCGGCCGGAACGAAAUCGCCCGGGUGAAUAGCCCGGGUGGAUGACGGUACCGGAAGAAGAAGCACCGGCUAACUACGUGCCAGCAGCCGCGGUAAUACGUAGGGUGCGAGCGUUAAUCGGAAUUACUGGGCGUAAAGCGUGCGCAGGCGGUUUCGUAAGACAGGUGUGAAAUCCCCGGGCUCAACCUGGGAACUGCGCUUGUGACUGCGAGGCUGGAGUGUGGCAGAGGGAGGUGGAAUUCCACGUGUAGCAGUGAAAUGCGUAGAGAUGUGGAGGAACACCGAUGGCGAAGGCAGCCUCCUGGGCCAGCACUGACGCUCAUGCACGAAAGCGUGGGGAGCAAACAGGAUUAGAUACCCUGGUAGUCCACGCCCUAAACGAUGACGACUAGUUG
rnacentral:rRNA from 1 species